rnacentral:lncRNA from 1 species
AGAGCACCCUCGUGAAGCGGCUGUUUGUCUCAUCUUUUACCGAAAGGCGCGAGAGAACGGUGUGCGGGUCCAGGGUAGCGGUUACGAUUCAGUAGGGAUGUCGGUAUCUACGAUAAUGUGACAGCCGGGAGAAGACACAGGGGGAUACCACAUCUCGGAACGGGAGAGAACGCGGAUGCCGCUCAACGUUGUCGUUUCUUCAGAGAAGUCUUCUGAUCUGUCAGCACCAGAAAGAUCCGAGAAAUGCCGUCAGAACCGUCCAUCACCGGAGACAGCAGAAUGUUGUUCAUUUCCCUGCUCAGACAGUGCAACACGAUACAGAUGAAGACGGUCGUCUCCAAACGCUGGAAUCCAAACAAAUAUUCACAGAUACUUAUAUAUAUUUAUGUGGAUGUGUUGAUUUUUGCGCAUCUUACUCUUUGAAAGGACAUUUAUGAACCGCCACCCUGGUGUCUAUUGGAGUUUAGAUCUGGCAGCCGAUCCGUGCCGUGGACCAAUUUUGUAAUGGCCCGCUGCUAUCAAAGUGGAGCAUGCCGCCGGGAAGGAAAGACAUUCACAAUAUAUGCAGAGAGUCCUCGUCGAAGACACUCGAUCAGGACACUGGCGAAAAUGGGAUCUGAGACUGUAGGCAGCGCGUGCGCAGACGAGUGAAACUGUCUCGAGAGAAUGUGGUGAUGCACCGUGUUUGUCAUGGUCAGUUGGCGGCAUCAUUGAAAGGGCAGAUCUCGAGGAUCUGCUUUGAUGUCCUGUGACACUGUGAACUCUUUUACGCGGCUUCGGGGUCUUGAAAACCAGACAGCGAGAAGCGAACUGGGAGCUUUUCCGUCGGAUCCCCAUACGCAGAGAGC